ACGGAAGGCAGCAGUGGGGAAUAUUGCACAAUGGGGGAAACCCUGAUGCAGCGACGCCGCGUGAGUGAAGAAGUUAUUCGUAAUGUAAAGCUCUAUCAGCAGGGAAGAAAAUGACGGUACCUGACUAAGAAGCCCCGGCUAACUACGUGCCAGCAGCCGCGGUAAUACGUAGGGGGCAAGCGUUAUCCGGAUUUACUGGGUGUAAAGGGAGCGUAGACGGUCUGGCAAGUCUGAUGUGAAAGGCAGGGGCUCAACUCCUGGACUGCAUUGGAAACUGUCAGUCUUGAGUGUCGGAGAGGUAAGCGGAAUUCCUAGUGUAGCGGUGAAAUGCGUAGAUAUUAGGAGGAACACCAGUGGCGAAGGCGGCUUACUGGACGAUAACUGACGUUGAGGCUCGAAAGCGUGGGGAGCAAACAGUAUUAGAUACCCUGGUA
rnacentral:rRNA from 1 species